AGUGAACGCUGGCGGUAGGCCUAACACAUGCAAGUCGAACGGCAGCACAGUAAGAGCUUGCUCUUACGGGUGGCGAGUGGCGGACGGGUGAGGAAUACAUCGGAAUCUACUUUUUCGUGGGGGAUAACGUAGGGAAACUUACGCUAAUACAGCAUACGCCCUACGGGUGAAAGCAGGGGAUCGUCGGACCUUGCGCGAUUGAAUGAGCCGAUGUCGGAUUAGCUAGUUGGCGGGGUAAAGGCCCACCAAGGCGACGAUCCGUAGCUGGUCUGAGAGGAUGAUCGGCCACACUGGAACUGAGACACGGACCAGACGCCUACGGGAGGCACCAGUGGGGAAUAUUGGACAAUGGGCGCAAGCCUGAUCCAGCCGUACCGCGUGGGUGAAGAAGGCGUUCGGGUUGUAAAGCCCUUUUGUUGGGAAAGAAAAGCAGCAGGUUAAUACCCCGCUGUUCUGACGGUACCCAAAGAAUAAGCACCGGCUAACUUCGUG
rnacentral:rRNA from 1 species